UGUAAAUCUGGCCUUGGUACCAGCUGUGAAACGGAAACAAGCCUUGAUGCGUCGCUUGUGUCCCACGUAGAGUGCCUUUUGGGAAACGCACUUCCCGAUGCUCCGCUAGAUAAGAUCAUCGCCCUUGUCUGUGGCAUCAUCAGCCGUACCGACAGGGCUGCCUUCACCGCCCUACCACUGUGGUUUGGCCUCUACAACGUCAACACAAAUUUGUGCCCCUGGCGGUAGCCACUGGACCCCUUUCGCCUCGGCUUCUCGUAGACGCCACCCACGGACUGACCCACCGGUGGAAAAUUGGUGUGCAAUUCGUUCUAAACCGCGCAUCGAAGCAACUGCACCCCAAGCCUUCAUCAGAGAACUAGCUCCUUUUGUUAAAUGUAGCUGUGUUGAACAAAAGUUAGUUUUCUGUUUAAUUAUACACAUGUGUCAAAGAAACUGCUCCUUUAGCAUACUUUAUUAUGAUAAGUGCUUUUUUGCUUGCAUUCUUAUAACUCGCUGACAUAAGAAAGUUUAUAUACUGGCUGUUCUUUUUUGUUGUUGUUGAUCACAGAUUCUUUCUUCUAAAUGAAUUCUGGCCUAUUCCCAAAUUAUGGUCAUUGGGAAAGAUUACUUAUUGAGGUGGGCAUCAUUACGUACAGAAAUGCAAUAAAUGCAUACUUUGGUUAUUAAAAAAAAGU